rfam:Strongylocentrotus purpuratus Contig13545_fixed, whole genome shotgun sequence.
UUGUCAAUGUGACCGAUAUAAUGGGCAUGAAUAAUCAUGAUCAAUGUCCAGUAUAGCGGUGACAAUGAGAU